rnacentral:lncRNA from 1 species
AAAAUCCAUAAAUCCAAGAAUUACAAAGAAAGAAAUUAAUACCCCUCACCGUCCAUCAGCUGUGCCUCCCCUACAUCAUCAGAAGAUAGUGGGCGCGGCUAUAGUUGUGCCUACAACUAUUGUGAUUAGGACUUGAUGUUAGGUAUGGUUGGAAACCUAUGAAAAAACGCUUCUAGGCUCAUUUAGAUAAUCUACAUUUGGGUCUCCAACUUCUUUAUUGAGUCCUUCAUUUCUUGAAAACCCUCAGGUUCAAAAGGAAAAGUUCACAGAGCAUCACUAAAAAAGGUCAGACCAAAGGUAGACUCCAACAUCGUAGCUAAAGCAAGUAGUCUAGUAGCUAGCUUCCUGUUGCCAAACUUGUAGACAUGGCUCCAAGUGAUUAUUUAAAUUGUUUUCUACGAUAAAGCAAUAACAUAAGAUUCCUACAAACGAAAAAAGAAAUGAAAUAUUAUUUAAAUUUUUAAGUAACAUAUACACACAUAAUACUAUAUAAUAAGCAUAAUACUACUUACAUUGACAGUCUUUGACUUGUUGUCCACAAAGUUACUAACAUCCUUUUAUCACUUGUGAGUGCACUAAAAGAGCUUGGUAAAUGUCACCGAUCUUUGCCCUUGUAAGGGUUGUUGCUUGAUCCCGUUAAAAAGAAAGGAUCUCUUUGUGGAUUGUGUGAGAGUUAUCGCUUUGUCCUGUUAAAAGGUAAGAAUCUUUGAUAGUGGAUUGAAAUUCCUUAGUUACUAAAAGAGUGGAUGUAAACAUUGAAAAGCUGAACUACUAUAAAUUAUUUGUCUCUUUCUUUAAUUUUUCACAUUAUUGUUUAUUGUUUAUACUUACCUUAGGAAAAUAGAUUUAUAUUGAUUUAUUAUUUUACACUUAGGAAAAUAUUUUUCCCUUACCUUUCAUAACUAGCAAUUAACUUAGGAAAAAUGUUUUACUUUGAUAGAUUAUUUUUAUACUUAGUGAUUUAUUGUUGGAAACUUGUUUUUGAUGUUAGAAAAUAUUUUUGGAUGAAAAAGUUUUGAUCUUUAUACCAUGAUUUUUAAAGAAAUUUUUAUAAAUACAAAUUCACCCCUUUUUUGGUAUAUUGUUCAUUGAGACUUUUACACUAACAAUGUCAAAAAAAAGGCAAUUAAAAAAUUAUGAGACAUUGCACUUUCUGAAGAGUGCAAUGCUGUAAUAUAAAAUAAGCUUCCACCAAAGCUUAAGGACCUACAAAGUUUUUCUAUUCCUUGCACUAUUGGAAAUGUUGAAUUUUCUAAAUCUUUUUGUGAUUUGGAUGUUAGUGUUUUAUUUAUGCCUUUGUCUAUUUCUAGAAAACUUGGACUUAAGGAGAUAAAACCUACUACAGUUUCUUUGUAGUUAGCAAACAGUUCAAUCAAGUACCCCGUUGGGAUUGUAGAGAAUGUUUUGUUUAAAGUUGGGAAGUUCUACAUUCCGACGAAUUUCAUUGGGCUUGAGAUGGAUGAAAAUGAUGAAAUUCCUCUUAUUUUAGGACAACCAUUCUUGGAUACAAUAGGAGCAAUCAUAUAUGUGAAGAACGGUAAGCUAACUUUCAAAGUUAGAGAGAAUGAAGUCGUGUUUAAUGUGUUCAAGGCAACUAAGUAUCUUUCCUUUAAAGAUAAUUGCUAUAAAUGGAAUUUAGUUGAUGAGUUGACUAAGGAAGUUUAUGACAAAGAAUAUAUAAAGAAACCCUAUGAAGUUUGUUUAGUUCAUACUACAACAACAAGAGAUGACAAUGAGAAAUUACAAUUGUUGCACAUUCUUUGGAAUCGACAUGACAAAUGACUCAUCAAAGAGGAAUUCAAUUCAUCGAAUUGGGUAAAAGUAAGUCUAUUUCACCACCUUUAAUUUAGCAAACACCAACUCUUAGUUAAAAACACUACCACCACAUCUCAGAACAAAGCAGUGGCAUGAUAAGCAUUUUCACAAGAGAGAUUUUGAGAUAGAACAACAAGUGUUACUUUCUAAUUCAUGCCUCAAGCAUUUUUCCCAAAAAUCAAAUUAAGAUGGUCGGGCCCCUUCAAAGAGGUUAAGUUCUAUCCUUGUAGAGCAAUAGAGAUUUAUAGUGAGGCUAUCAGAGCAUUCAAGGUUAAUGGAAAAUGCCUCAAGCCUUAGAUUCAAAUCCUCAACAAUGAAGAUCUAACCAUAAUCAAGCUAUUAAAGAAGUGCUUCUUAAGAGGCAAUCAAAGCUUUCAUAACUCUUACUCUUUUUCUUUGAAGUUAUUUUUUUAUUUCUUACUUAUAAUUCCCCAUGAAUUUCUAUUUAUUCUUUUUCUUUUGCAAGUAAUAUUCAAAAACAAGUCCAAGGCCUUAUCGGAUCCUCCCACCAGCUUUGGCAAUAAUGAUAAAGAAAAGGAAAAGGAAUAGAGCUCUCUUUGCAUUUCUACCAAUGACAGGAGAGUUUUCUCUUACUUUUCCUUUUCUAUUUUCACAUUGAGGACAUUGUUCAGUUUAAGUUUAGGGAAAGGUAUUAUCUUUUUCAUUUUAUUUAUGUUUUAUGCUUAUUUUAUUUAUUUGCAUGAUUGUUUUAGUUUGUUUCUUGGAUGUUUAGUUUUUUUUUUCUAAAGUCUAUUUGGUCUAUAGUUGGAGUUGUUUUGUGCCGUUUUCUAAGAUUUUCCUAAUCUAAUGAUGAAAAUUUAGUUCUUUUCUUAUCUUGGCUAUCAGAAAAAUAUGGAUAUGAUUUGAGUUUGGGUUUAAUUCUUGUGAGUAUCAUUAUUAGGAUGUGAUUUCCAUUAAUUGACCACUUGAUCUUUUGCUUAGAAUUAUUGUGCAUAUUUAGAGACAGUUUAUAUUAAUGUGAAUUUUAGUUAUGUCAUGAAUUUUAGAAUUUGUUUGAUACUCUCUUGAGGUAAAACCUUCAGCAAUACUUCAAUAAGGAAAUGAAUUAGGCCAUCUUUGGGCUAUUUGAGCCUUUUGAGCCUACCUUGAUAUAUUUUUAUCCUUAGUAUACCUUCGUUAAGCCAAAUUUUACCUUUUCUUUGUCAACACACAUAUUUGCUUUAGCCUAGCUUAUAAUAAGUUUCCAAUUUUUUAUCCCUCAUCCUUAAGUAUGUAGAUCAUUUUAAGAAGAUAUAAUGAGCUAUAUGAUGAAUAAAGGUAGAAAGAGUGGAGUAUAUGAAAGUUUCACUUGUGCUUAAUGAUCAACCCUCUAUCAAAAUAGAAAGAAAUAAGUUAGGGGGUGUAGAAUUGUGCAAAACAAAAAGAGAAUAAAUUGGUGACAAAAGAAAAGAUGAAGUCAAGUAUGGGUUGUAUUUGGGAUGUGAAUUGAGCUCUACAAAGGUCCUAGAAGGAUUUAUGUGCUCAGGGUGUUUUUAGCGACAUAAAUAUCCUUUGUUCUACCUUUACCCUAGCCUUUCAUUACAAGCUUAAUAAAGUCUUAAUGAUCCUUGAUUAAGUAUUAGUCUACAUUAGUGGAGAGAAAGAUGAAAAACAAACCUAUGAGAUUCUAGUACUAAUCUGCAAUUUUUGCAUUAGCAUAAACUUACUGUCACGACCCGGAACUCCCAUCGGGCCCGUGACAACCGCCACGACGUCUCGAUAGGCACUCAUUACCCCGAAUGCCGAUCGAAACCCCGCAAGGCCUAGCAUCAGCAUCCGCAUCUCCCCGGUGAGCGACAGUUAUUAAAUCUCACAUUUCAAGAAAUCAUAAGUCGUUUCCAAAUCAAAACAAUAAAAUAUUAUUUUCUAGCUCACAAGGGCAUUUUUGUCAUUUUUUUUCAAAAAUAUCGAAACCCGCCAAAAACAUGGUGUAAAAGAUAAAUAUAUUCAUACAUACUUUAAAUCAGAUAACUGAAGUAUAAAAUUUCUUUUACAGUGACACGUGGGCCCCCAACUGACCAAGAAGGUGUAGGGCUACGAACCCUUACUUUCUAGGAUGAAACUCCGAGAUUAAUUCUCGUCUUAAUCAACUAUCAACAAACUGUCCUGAGCCUGAAAAAUGGAUAGGAAGAGGGGUGAGAUUAUGAUUACAUAAUCCCAGUGAGUAAACAGACACCAUCUAAACUAUCUAAAGGCGAGUAAAGGGAGACAAUUAAAAAUAGUUCAUUUCAGUAAAUUUUUCACAACACGAAUAUUCAUUUCAACCAAAUAAUCAAUAUGGCUCGUGAAUUUCUCAAAACUUGGCUCCUGCCAAAAUCAUUCUCUCAAGUACCUUCGUCAAGGUAUCCCAUUGAGACCGCCAAGGCUAUUAAAUGUCCUAUACCCAUAAACAUGUUUUCGCAUCUGACACACAGUCGUUCCUUGGCAUUGGUUGAGUCUCACUCUCACGCGAUGGUUACUGUGAAGUGCACUCAAAAAGCCUACCGCAGGAGAUACCCUACGCGCUUCUACGACCGAGGUGAGAAUAUAAAUGAGUUUACCAUGCCCCUCUAAUAGGCUGGUCCACGAAACCCCCCCACCACUACAGUGACUAUGGAUUAUUUUAUCUACCAACUAAUUUAUAAAAUCUUUAUCUGCAUGACAUGGCAAUUUAUGGUAAUUUAGCCUCUCAAGGCUGAAUACAUAGUAUAGAUAAUUUUGAUACAAAUACCGACUUUGCCAUUCAUGCUCACAUAUUGUUAUAAGCCAUAUAAUUUAAAACAUAAUUUAUAACACAAGCAGGCAGUCUCCAAUUACUCUAUUUUCAAAACCAGUAUUCAAUUUUCCAAAAAAUUUAUAAAAUCAUUUUAUAAAAUAACAAUUUCUCCUAAAAUGUAGCAAUUUACCAUUUAAACUCAUUUUCUAUAAAAUCACACAAUUGUAUAAAACUACUCUAGAUAAUUAAGACGAUAAUAAAUUUACUCACAGUUCUAGGAGUAAAAAUACUCCUAUUUUCAGUUCGCGGGUACAGUCCUUUACCCGUAUCCAAUGGCUUACCACCUAGCCAUAAUCCAUGACACAUAUUUCAAUUAAAUUGUGUCUACAGUCAUAGGUUAUUUCAGGCUCGAUAUAUAUAUGCGUGAUAUGAAAUGAAAAAUGCACGGGUAGCCAUCUAGACCCGGUAUUGACCUAAGUCAAUUUUUCAUCCGAUAAAUUGGUCAAUGAGUCCAAUUUCACUCAAACUUGCUCCAUUUCUUUUCCAAUCCCUCAAUUCACCAAGCACAACUAAUUAACACACAAUUAGGCAAAUUUAUCUUCACUUUUCUUCUUGGAACUUUCGGCCAUUGUGAUGCACUAUCACUAAAAAUUUUCGCAUUCCAUUUUCUCACCAAAAAUCAUCAUUUCAUCAAUUUUUCAAUCAAUUCACUUGAUCACAAAAUCAAUUCAUUACUUCUACACUUCACAUAGGGUUCGGCCAUUGAAGGUUCAUGGGGAAAAUGGAUUCUUUUCUUGUUGUUUUGUUUCUAAACAUGUUUAACUAACUUUAAACACCAACAUAACUCAAAAUCAAACAAUUCCAACAUCUUUCUCUCUCCAUACCCAUUUUGACCAACCAUGAUUUCAUCAUGAAAACAUGUAAUUUAACCAUGGAAAUUAAGGAAAAAUGCAUGGGUAAGGUAAAUCACUAGCAAAAUCAAAGAAAUUUUACCUUUGCUUGAUCAAAUCCUUGAAUUCCAACACUUUCUCUUUGAUUUUUCCCACCUAGGGUUUGUUCUUCCUUGGUUUCUCUUCUCUUCUG